UGAAAUGUUUGCUGUGUGAAGACCCCAAUACUCUGUAACUUCCGAAAUGUGGUGAAUGCCCCACUAUCUUGAUGUGAAUGCCCUAAGCCCUUAAAGUGUAAACGCCCUGCUCCUAGCAAAAGGCACACCGUCUGGUCCACACUGAUAAGACACAAGUUGUUUACCACCGACUAUAUAAGCACCAGAUUUUUCUUCAGUCCACGUCUCCUGCCUGAUGAGAGGAGGACUCCACGUCGCUCUGUGAGACAAGCCCCUGAUUGACUGCUCUCCUGUGUGAGCCUGAACCAACUGCGGCCGCCUGUCUGUCUCCAUCUUCGUCGUCCAUCUUUCGGUGUGCAUCGCCGGGUGGCCUUUGCUGGAGCCUAGGACCCACUAGGAAUAGCCGAGGGCACAGGC